rnacentral:rRNA from 1 species
GUGUCAGCCGCCGCGGUAAGACGAACCGUGCGAACGUUGUUCGGAAUCACUGGGCUUAAAGGGCGCGUAGGCGGGCAAGCAAGUUAGGGGUGAAAUCCCACGGCUCAACCGUGGAAGUGCCUUUGAUACUGCCUGUCUUGAGGGAGGUAGGGGCGUGCGGAACUUCCGGUGGAGCGGUGAAAUGCGUAGAUAUCGGAAGGAACACCGGUGGCGAAAGCGGCGCGCUGGACCUCUACUGACGCUGAGGCGCGAAAGCCAGGGGAGCAAACGGGAUUAGAUACCCCCGUAGUCC